rnacentral:lncRNA from 13 species
AGAAUCAAGAAGUCUGGAGGGUUUAAAUUGCAUUUUGAAAAAUUGGAAUAUCUGUCACCACACAUGGCGGUGUCCUUGAUGCUAUCUUGGGGCAAAGAAGCCAGGCCGGCUUGUGGCUGCAAUAGGAAUAGAAGGGACUCCCCUACUCCCAUCCCACCCUACCCCCUCAUCCUGCCUCAACCAGUCAUGCAGAGAGAUGCUGAAUGCCUGCCUACUCUCAGAGGAAUGAUUUUUGGAGGUUUCAUGAAAAUAAUUCAAUCAAUCAAGUUCAACAAAUAUUCAUUGAGC